GCUGGGUGUGGUGGCGCAUGCCUGUAAUCCCAGCUACUCGGGAGGCUGAGGCAGGAAGAUUGCUUGAGCCCAGAGGUUCAAGGCUACAGUGAGCUAUGAUAGUGCCACUGCACUCCAGUCUGGGUGGCAAAGCAGGACCCUGUCUCAA
rnacentral:sRNA from 1 species